UACAGUUUCAAUCGCAUUUCA
rnacentral:piRNA from 1 species